UUGUGAUUGGUGGAAUACUAUCCCCAGACGCAGUAUCAUCUAAAAGGAAGGCAAAAGGAAACAUGGAAAAAGUCAACAAAUUUGUUAAUAGAAAAAGGAUCUGUCUUGAUAAUGAUAAAAGAAAUAAUAAAUUAGCGAUAAAUCUGAAUAUACCUCUGGGAGAUCCUUUGCAACCAACGAGGGUAAAGGACCCAGAAACAAGAGAGAUUAUUCUUAUGGAUCUUGUAAGGCCACGAGAUACUUACCAAUUUUUUGUUGCGCAUGUGAACUGAAAGUAUAUAAAACACUGGAUACACCCUUUUUUCUACUGGAAAAUUGACAUUAGGACCACAUCAAGAAAAGGGAAAGCAGCAUGUUCGCUCAGAUAUAUUGGUUUUUUAUGUUAAGUUUGGUAACCUUUUAUGUACCUUACAUGAAACACCUUAUGUGAUAACAACUGGGGAUUCAUUCUUUGUUCCUUCAGGUAAUUAUUACAACAUCAAAAAUCUUCUGGAUGAGCAAAGUGUACUUCUUUUUACUCAGAUAAAAAGAUGAAAUAUGAAGCAAAGUUUAGAUGUGUAUGUGCGUGCAUGUGCAUGAGUGUAUAUAUACACAUAUACACACAACGGUUUGUACAGUUGGAACAUUUCUCUUUGUAAUUAUUUGCACUAUUUUAAAAUAAUAAAAUUUUAUUUAGUUUUCUGUUACUUGUAUCAGAUAUUUCAAGUUCCCAUAUCUUAAUUUUUCCACAAAUAUACACUUGACCUCUAGUGGUUCCCAUGCUUAUAAUAUUUUAAUAAUAUAAAAUCAAAAUUAUUGCUUGCAGUGAAAUACAAUAUGUUUAUUUGUCAGAAGAUAUCUGAUUAAUAUAUCCAUUUAUUUAAAAGUCAUUUCCAAAUUUUAGUUUUAAAUCACUAAUUGUUAAGACAACCAAAAAAUAGAGAACUGUAGGAAAAUAGUACAUCUGUAUUAGUUUCCUUGGACUUUUGUAACAAACUAGUACAAACUGGGUGACUUAAAAUAACAAAAAUUCUGGAGCGUCAGAAAUCAAAGUAUCCGCAGAGAUUCUCUCUCUCUCCUCUCUCAAUCUCUGUCUGAAUCUCUCUGAAACCUUUAAGGGAGAAGCCUUUCUCUCUUUGGUGUUCUUUUAACAUCAGUAGUAUUUUUUGUUAGAGACUGUCCUGUGCCAUUGCUUUCUGUGCUCGGUUCCCUUCACCUUUCU